GAAAAGAACCCCGGCGAGGGGAGUGAAAAAGAACCUGAAACCGUGUACGUACAAGCAGUGGGAGCACAGGUUUACCUGUGUGACUGCGUACCUUUUGUAUAAUGGGUCAGCGACUUAUAUUCUGUAGCAAGGUUAACCGAAUAGGGGAGCCGGAGGGAAACCGAGUCUUAAUUGGGCGUUAAGUUGCAGGGUAUAGACCCGAAACCCGGUGAUCUAGCCAUGGGCAGGUUGAAGGUUGGGUAACACUAACUGGAGGACCGAACCGACUAAUGUUGAAAAAUUAGCGGAUGACCUGUGGCUGGGGGUGAAAGGCCAAUCAAACCGGGAGAUAGCUGGUUCUCCCCGAAAGCUAUUUAGGUAGCGCCUCGUGAAUUCAUCUCCGGGGGUAGAGCACUGUUUCGGCUAGGGGGCCAUCCCGGCUUACCAACCCGAUGCAAACUGCGAAUACCGGAGAAUGUUAUCACGGGAGACACACGGCGGGUGCUAACGUCCGUCGUGAAGAGGGAAACAACCCAGACCGCCAGCUAAGGUCCCAAAGUCAUGGUUAAGUGGGAAACGAUGUGGGAAGGCCCAGACAGCCAGGAUGUUGGCUUAGAAGCAGCCAUCAUUUAAAGAAAGCGUAAUAGCUCACUGGUCGAGUCGGCCUGCGCGGAAGAUGUAACGGGGCUAAACCAUGCACCGAAGCUGCGGCAGCGAACGUAUCACUUAAAGCGAUUCAGCGGGUUACGAUUGACGGAGCGAAGCGACGUCAAAGCGUAUACAAAGUCGAGUCGGUUUAAGGAUACGUUCGUUGGGUAGGGGAGCGUUCUGUAAGCCUGCGAAGGUGGCCUGUGAGGGUUGCUGGAGGUAUCAGA
rnacentral:rRNA from 1 species